UCCCAGCACUCCAAGUCGCAGCCACAAUUAUUGGGUCUAAAACAUCCGUAGCUUGCUUUGUAAGUCUUUUGUGAAAUCGGGCAUCUUAAGUGUCCGUCGGGCAAAAGAUACUGUUUAGCUAGGGACCGGGAGAUGUAAAGAGUACGAAUGGAGUAGCGGUAAAAUGCGUUGAUCCUAUUUGGACUAACAACAGCGAAGGCACUUUACAAGAACGGAUCCGACAGUGAGGGAUGAAGGCUAGGGGCGCAAAUUG
rnacentral:rRNA from 1 species